GGAGGAGGACCCAUGGCUCAGCGGCAGAGCAUUUGCUUCGCAUGCAGAAGGUCUCAUGUUCAGUCCCCAACUUCUUCA
rnacentral:tRNA from 1 species